rnacentral:sRNA from 1 species
ACGGAGCGGAGGCUCUUCUGGGUGACGUCACGCACGUCCUGACCGUCGAUGG